UACGGAGGGUGCAAGCGUUAAUCGGAAUCACUGGGCGUAAAGCGCACGUAGGCUGUUAUGUAAGUCAGGGGUGAAAUCCCACGGCUCAACCGUGGAACUGCCCUUGAUACUGCACGACUUGAAUCCGGGAGAGGGUGGCGGAAUUCCAGGUGUAGGAGUGAAAUCCGUAGAUAUCUGGAGGAACAUCAGUGGCGAAGGCGGCCACUUGGACCGGUAUUGACGCUGAGGUGCGAAAGCGUGGGGAGCAAACAGG
rnacentral:rRNA from 1 species